CAGCCAAAUGGGCUUUCCUCUGGGCUUGAUGUGAACUGAAGUAUUAACACAUUUGACUCAUUCCUCACUUGGGUUAAGUAAUACAAGGAGCCUGGCUAGAUCACCUGGACAUCCUGGGUUUUCAGUUGUCAUCCAUGGGAAAAGGAAAACCUAGCAACUCAUCUCUGUGCUCAGUUUGUUACACCCUCAACUUUCAUCUGCUCAGAUUUAAAUCUCUUCAGUGGAGAAAUACGUUAUUCCUAAAUACCUUGCUCUUUUGAAGAUGGUUGACCUAUCUUGGUUGCUUCCUUCUGACUUCUAGCUAGCUGCACCACUUACAUCUACAUAUUAAGGCCACAAAGGACUCUCAUGAUUAUCAAAGGCCAGAGGUUGGCAGCCUGCAGCCCAUGGACCAGAUCUAGCCCAGAGUGGCAUUUGGCGGCCAGAAGAAAGGCAUUUUGUGUGGGAAACUUUGUCUAACAUCUCUCCUAGCUAUACAUUGGGCCAACAAAGGGUAUUGUUUUAUCUCACCAACCUUGAUCCUUGUGUUUCCUGGACCAUCACAGCUACAGCAGCACUACAACGCUGCUGCAUGUUGACGAGCAGUCCAGUCCAUCCGAACAUUUACAGCCAGGUGGCUCUGAUGCUCCUCGCACUUCCAGUAUGUAAAACUAGAAGUCAUUCAUCCGAA